UAAGGGGGAAGAGUUGGGGAAAUGGCGACUGCACUUUGACCUUUGUAGCAUCCAUGCAAACAUAAUUUAUCUUAGCCCCCUUACCCUUUCUUCUGGAACCGCCGGACUGGAGGGCGCGGGAGGGACGCAGAGGUUUCCAGGAUCCCUUGAUGGGAGCUGGAAGCCCUUCGGGAGCGAUCCCGAGUUUGAGCUGUAGCCCUGGCUGCUGUGCUAACUACGGCUCACAAUUAUACUUUGGACACGGAACCAGGCUGACAGUUCUGGAUGACCUGACCAGAGUGACUCCCCCAAAAGUGACUGUAUUUCAGCCAUCUGAGGAAGAGAUUGAGAAGAAGGGAAAGGCCACUCUGGUCUGUCUGGCCACAGGCUUCUACCCUGACCUGGUGGAGCUGAGCUGGUGGGUGAAUGGGCAGGAGACUCAGAUUGGGGUCAGCACAGAUCCUCAGCCUUCCAAGGAGCAGCCCCAUAAGAACGAUUCGAGCUAUUCACUGAGCAGCCGGCUCCGGGUUUCUGCUCCCUUCUGGCGCAAUCCCAAGAAUAGCUUCCGUUGCCAAGUACUAUUCCAUGGGAUCUCAGAGGAUGAGGACUGGAAGGGUAAUGGGAGCAAACCUGUCACCCAGAAUGUUAGUGACCAGACCUGGGGAAAGGCAGAUUGUGGUCUUACCUCUGAGUCAUAUCAGCGCAGUAUCCAGUCUGCCACCUUCCUUUAUGAGAUCCUUCUGGGGAAGGCCAUGCUCUAUGGCCUGUUGGUCAGUGUCCUGGUAUGGAGAACCAUGGUCAAGAAAAAAUAUUACUGAUGCCAGCUGUGGAGAUGGAAAUAGGGAAGAAAAAACAGGAUUCAGUAUCCCAUCUUGGUUACUGUUUUCUCUAUUCCUAUUCUGUGUUCCAGAAAAGCUAUUGUUCCUUCAAUCUUUAUGCCCACCUUUCAUAAGUCUCUCCAAAGAGAACAUUCCAAUUUCAAGGAGAAAAGGAUGGUGGUUUGAUCUUGAAGAAAUAAUAAUAAUAAAAACAAAGCCUUCCCUGGCUUAGCAGUU